GCCGCCCUGGCCGAGGCCGACACCGCCUCGCCCGAGGCGGGGCUGGCCCUGCUGGGGGACAAGGCCCUGUUGUUCAGCCCGUCGGGGCGAAGC
rnacentral:tRNA from 1 species